rnacentral:rRNA from 1 species
AGAGUUUGAUCCUGGCUCAGGAUGAACGCUAGCUACAGGCUUAACACAUGCAAGUCGAGGGGCAGCAUGAUCGAAGCUUGCUUGAUGAUGGCGACCGGCGCACGGGUGAGUAACGCGUAUCCAACCUUCCCUAUAGUAGAGGAUAGCCCGGCGAAAGUCGGAUUAAUACUCUAUGUUGUAUUUAGAGGACAUCUGAAGAAUACCAAAGGUUUACCGCUAUAGGAUGGGGAUGCGUCUGAUUAGGUUGUUGGCGGGGUAACGGCCCACCAAGCCGACGAUCAGUAGGGGUUCUGAGAGGAAGGUCCCCCACAUUGGAACUGAGACACGGUCCAAACUCCUACGGGAGGCAGCAGUGAGGAAUAUUGGUCAAUGGGCGAGAGCCUGAACCAGCCAAAGUAGCGUGCAGGAUGACGGCCCUAUGGGUUGUAAACUGCUUUUAUACGGGGAUAAAGUGAGGGACGUGUCCCUUUUUGUAGGUACCGUAUGAAUAAGGACCGGCUAAUUCCGUGCCAGCCGCAGC